GGGGGCGACCGGUUUCGACGGGACGGUCAAUACGCUGAGGGAAGCAUGCCGAGGUAUUAUCUCCUCGUAAAAAAAGGUUAAAAACCAUAGUCGGCAACGACUAUAACUACCAACUGGCUGCCUAAUCGCAGUUAGCGUCUUUUCUGCCCUUUCCUGUGGGGCUUAAAAGACGACCAUUAGCAGGAUGGCUUGCGGGGCUCUGUCCGAAGGACCUGCAAGCGAGACUCAACCGGACUUGCCCUCCGGGACUUUGCCUGAUGAGUGACGGAGGGCGAGAGCUGACAUCGGGCUAAGCAUGUAGACGCCCCGGCUGCGACGUUCCCGGACGUGGGUUCGAUUCCCACCGCCUCCACCA
rnacentral:tmRNA from 1 species